GCCUACGGGGGGCAGCAGUGAGGAAUAUUGGUCGAUGGGCGCGAGCCUGAACCAGCCAAGUCGCGUGAGGGAAGACGGUCCUAUGGAUUGUAAACCUCUUUUGUCGGGGAGCAAAAGACGCCACGCGUGGCGUUCCGAGAGUACCCGAAGAAAAAGCAUCGGCUAACUCCGUGCCAGCAGCCGCGGUAAUACGGAGGAUGUGAGCGUUAUCCGGAUUUAUUGGGUUUAAAGGGUGCGCAGGCGGAAGAUCAAGUCAGCGGUAAAAUUGAGAGGCUCAACCUCUUCGAGCCGUUGAAACUGGUUUU
rnacentral:rRNA from 1 species